UACGAGAGGUCCAAACGUUUAUUCGGAAUCACUGGGCUUACAGAGUUCGUAGGCGGUCCAGAAAGUGGGGUGUGAAAGCCCUCGGCUUAACCGAGGAACUGCGCUCCAAACUACUGGGCUAGAGGAAGAUAGAGGUGAGCAGAACUGAUGGUGGAGCGGUGAAAUGCGUUGAUAUCAUCAGGAAUACCGGAGGCGAAGGCGGCUCACUGGGUCUUUUCUGACGCUGAGGAACGAAAGCUAGGGGAGCAAACGGG
rnacentral:rRNA from 1 species